UACACUAUAUUUGAUUUUUUAAAACAUACGUAAAUUGACUAAAUCAUACAAUUUAAGUCAUUAGUAUUAUCAUAUAUUUUGUCAUCUUUGAGGAUACAAUAGUGAAGUGACUUUAGAAUUUGAUGUUGUUUGUGCUCUAAACUUUUUUUGGUAAAAAAUGUUAAGAUUUCAUUACAAGUUUUCAAAUUUUUUACAGAAUUACAAGGAGAACAAGUAACAGAACAAAAGAAAACAUACUAACACAAACAUACUAACACAAACUCAGACUUAAGGAAACAAAGAUUGACUACAAGCAAAUCCGCAGCACACAAAAGGAUACAGCGGAGAGUAACAGUCGCCUGCCGUAGAAUCGACCCACAGUGAUUGCAAGAACUGGACCCGGUAGAGUUUGGCGUACUCCACUCCUUGACCAUGCUUCCCUGGAGAUCCGAGACUUACACGCCAGAUCAAGACCGCGCGGUGGCGCAAGGAACAGAGCACCGAAAAAGAAAACGGAGAAAAGGAGGUAGAGGAAAGGCGAGGGGAAAGAAAAGAAGAGAGAGAGGUGGGCGACCAGCGAGAGGAAGCGGAGGAGCGCCGCCGGCCACUCUAACGAAGGGAUUUAGGGUUUCUUUUCUUUGAGAGGUUUCUUAGAUAGAGGAAAUAAGAGAGAGGUUUGUUUUCCUUUGUGUUCUAAACUUUUGUCUUUGAAUUUGGUUUUGGUUAUUCUGGAUCAAUUUUACAAUACAUUUUGAUUAUUUUUUAUAAACAUAUUUCUACGUUUUCCAUUAGAGAUAUAAGGCUGUCGGUGGGGUUGUUAAAAAUUAUUAUGCCUUUUUGAA
rnacentral:lncRNA from 1 species